UCAGGUGUCACCAAGAGUUCCCUUGACCACUUCAUUGGGAAAUAGUCUCUUUUGCAACUAAAUAUCCUACUGAAGUGUUUGGGGGAACUCCCGGCGGCAUUUGA